AACGAACGCUGGCGGCAGGCCUAACACAUGCAAGUCGAGCGAGACCUUCGGGUCUAGCGGCGGACGGGUGAGUAACGCGUGGGAACGUGCCCUUUGGUUCGGAAUAGCCCCGGGAAACUGGGAGUAAUACCGGAUAAGCCCUACGGGGGAAAGAUUUAUCGCCAAAGGAUCGGCCCGCGUUGGGUUAGGUAGUUGGUGGGGUAAUGGCCUACCAAGCCGACGAUCCAUAGCUGGUUUGAGAGGAUGAUCAGCCACACUGGGACUGAGACACGGCCCAGACUCCUACGGGAGGCAGCAGUGGGGAAUCUUAGACAAUGGGGGAAACCCUUAUCUAGCCAUGCCGCGUGAGCGAUGAAGGCCUUAGGGUUGUAAAGCUCUUUCAGUGGGGAAGAUAAUGACUGUACCCACAGAAGAAGCCCCGGCUAACUCCGUGCCAGCCGCCGCAGUAAAAC
rnacentral:rRNA from 1 species